UAUUUUUCAGUGAAAACAUCGCCUCCGGAUGACAGACGACACCCACAUGGGAGAAGAAAGACACGUGUACGACAGUCGUUGCAGACAGUCGAGUCACCUCUCCCGUCACUCAUACUUCCAUGUGGGCACGUUGGCAGGGGAGCGAAACAAGCCAGCCUUUGGAGGUGUACUCCCAGCGCCACUCUUCAUCUGGCAUGAACACACACGCACACACACACACACACAAUAGGCUGGUCCACGCUGAACUUGAUUACAGUGCCAAGGGUCCCCCGCUUCUGGCCCGCCACCCUCUGGGCAAAGUGGCUGAUGGUCACGCUCGCCGCUAAUUGAGGAUCCAUUUUCUGCAGCAAAUUCACGUGAUGAAUGAAUGGUCCGGUGUGGUUCUCACUAAUGUUCCUGAUUGCACCCUGGGCAUAUCGACACGGGCGAGGAGAGGUCUCGGCGGCACCGCACUAAGCCGACGAGGUGACGCCUUUUCGGCUCAUUGGAGUGACACUGAUCUUACCCAGAGGAGCACUCAAAGGACAGAGCGAGGCUUGAAUGAAAGGAAACGAGCAGGACGUGGUGCACGCUGCGGGAAAAGAAACAGAGUCGCUGAGGAUCUUUGAUGCCAAUGCCAGAGAGAGACUUGUGAGGUCAGCCGAGCGUUGACGCUUUCACAGGUGAGAUAAUGAUGACACCUGAGACGCUGCUGCUGUACACUGGACUGCAUCAGAGCGUGAAGUUUGGUGUAGCAUUUAAAACCGUGUAAGGCAGAGAUGGACUCGCAGAAGCCAUGACGAUGAAAUAGGUGUUUCCGCCUCCCAGUAUGGUUUGGUUCAGUUUGGUACGAUAUGGAUUUUCACUUCUCAGGGCUUCAUUGGGCUGGACACGCGCGCAUCGCUCACCUCACCGAGUGGUUGAGGCAAGCUCAGUGCGACUUAUCCUGUACCAGCUAGCUAGUAACAAGCUAGCUACUACUAGUGCGGCUAAAUACGUUCCAGAGUUGCUUCACAGUUAGUCAUCAUUGCCUUCAUGGCGGCAAAUAAGUUACACUUG